UACGUAGGGUCCGAGCGUUGUCCGGAAUUACUGGGCGUGAAGCGCACGUAGGCGGAUCGUUAAGUCGGGGGUGAAAUCCCGGGGCUCAACCUCGGAACUGCCUCUGAUACAGCAAGUCUUGAGUCCGGAAGAGGUGGGUGGAAUUCCUAGUGUAGAGGUGAAAUUCGUAGAUAUUAGGAAGAACACCAGUGGCGAAGGCGGCCCACUGGUCCGGUACUGACGCUGAACGGCGAAAGCUAGGGGAGCAAACGGG
rnacentral:rRNA from 1 species